CAGGACCAGAAAAGAGGCAGUGAAAUCGUGCGACGUGCAUGAGGUUGGUGGACGAAUAUCACGAGAUCUGUCUUAUUAAUUUUUUUCCAGUCAGCUGAAUGAGAAACAACUGAAACUUUCUUUAAUCCACCACGGAUUAGAUUUGGAUUAAAAGAAAAUCGUCUUUCUCCCUUUCCUCACCCAAAGGCUUUUUUUUUCAUACAGGAUCCUCCUCUCUUUGGAUCUGGUUUUUACUGAUCGUUGGACCACAUGGCAAAUGCUAAAGCCGAUGUUGUCGCAAAAGGGUUCAACCCAGGAUUGAUAGUGCUACUUGUCGUGGGUGGGCUACUGUUGGCCUUCCUUGUUGGGAAUUACAUCCUUUACGUUUAUGCUCAGAGAACUAUUGGACCAAAGAAGAAGAAGCCUAUAUCCAAGAAGAAGAUGAGGAAGGAAAGGCUGAAGCAAGGUGUGUCAGCACCAGGAGAAUAGAGGAGCUUCUUGGGUCUCUUUAUGUUCGCAGUUCUUAAUCUCCAUAAACCUGUCGAGACGGACAAAAGAUUUUACUUUUCGUUAAUUUACUUAGAAGAGUAGAACACACAUAACGCUAAAGUUUAUGUUUACUAUGUAGCCUUAGAUUUAGUUUACUUGUUUGAUCUGCUCAUUUGAGGAUUAAAUUUUAACUCUACUGUCUCCUUGUGCUAAAAUAACAUUUGCAUUCUGCAUCUGUUAGCUAUGUUGUGGAUACUCAGUGUGAGAAUAUUAGAAACCGGUUCUCGUCU